GACGAACGCUGGCGGCGUGCUUAACACAUGCAAGUCGAACGGAAAGGCCCUGCUUUUGUGGGGUGCUCGAGUGGCGAACGGGUGAGUAACACGUGAGUAACCUGCCCUUGACUUUGGGAUAACUUCAGGAAACUGGGGCUAAUACCGGCUAGGAGCUCCUGCUGUAUGGUGGGGGUUGGAAAGUUUCGGCGGUUGGGGAUGGACUCGCGGCUUAUCAGCUUGUUGGUGGGGUAGUGGCUUACCAAGGCUUUGACGGGUAGCCGGCCUGAGAGGGUGACCGGCCACAUUGGGACUAAGAUACGGCCCAGACUCCUACGGGAGGCAGCAGUGGAGAAUAUUGCACGAUGGGCGGAAGCCUGAUGCAGCGACGCCGCAUGCGGGAUGACGGCCUUCGGGUUGUAAACCGCUUUCGCCUGUGACGAAGCGUGAGUGACGGUAAUGGGUAAAGAAGCACCGGCUAACUACGUG
rnacentral:rRNA from 1 species